rnacentral:lncRNA from 1 species
UCGCAUGUUGACACUUCUUUUUUGUAGGUGGUGAAGGGUGUGUGAGACUGAUGUGUUUUUGUAGAUUCGUUGGUGCAUAUUGGUUUGAGAAAUUAUUAACCCAAUCAAAAUUGUGAACCAGGUAUAUAAACAAUGGGCAAUAGAGCUUUAGAUGGAGUCCCCGACAUCACCCUCUCCCUAGGGGGACACGGGCAGCAACCUCACUGCCCCACCGAACAACCGUUCAAUGUCUUCUCCCUCUCGCCGUCGCGAGCAAAGCCCGUGCGGAGCCGACAACAACAUGAUAUGUUGACUGCUUCGUGUUGUGCGCGCUUUGCGGGCUGGUGAUCUCGCAACGACAAGUGGUUUGCUGUAUGGAUGGCUGGUGUUGUCGGUCCCGAUGGUGUUGGCGACAGCUGGAAUAGCCACGAUGUUGUGUUGGCGGCGGUGGUUGCGGCUCGGUGCUUGGAGGUUGUCUAGAUNNNNNNNNNNCGACAGCUGGAAUAGCCACGAUGGUGUGUUGGCGGCGGUGGUUGCGGCUCGGUGCUUGGAGGUUGUCUAGAUCGGGUGGAAUUUUGUGGUUUGCCUUAUUUUAUUUUCUCUAGAUUUGUUUGAAAUUUAGGAUUGCAUUUUUACACCAUUGUAGAUACGUGUUGUAUCUCUUUUUUUAGGGGAAGAUACACGUUGUAUCUAAAUGUGCACAAAGUUUCACAAACAAAAUUCAUGAAGAUACGAUCUG